AAUCUUUUACAUCAAGGGUGUGCAACCUUGUUCUACAUAGGGGCCAGGAUUGCAUGUCUGUGAGCAGAUGGCGGGCCACAUCUAUCACGCGUUCACAGAGAUCCUACCCCUU